rnacentral:rRNA from 1 species
AUUUUGUGUAAAAUGUCGGCGAGCGGCGGACGGCUGAGUAACGCGUGGGAAUGUACCCCAAAGUGAGGGAUAACGCACCGAAAGGUGUGCUAAUACCGCAUAUGAUCUUCGGAUUAAAGCCUUCGGGCGCUUUGGGAACAGCCUGCGUCAGAUUAGAUAGUUGGUGAGGUAAUGGCUCACCAAGUCGACGAUCUGUAACUGGUUUGAGAGGAUGAUCAGUCAGACUGGAACUGAGACACGGUCCAGACUCC